GAUGAACGCUGGCGGCGUGCCUAAUACAUGCAAGUCGAGCGAACAGACGAGGAGCUUGCUCCUCUGACGUUAGCGGCGGACGGGUGAGUAACACGUGGAUAACCUACCUAUAAGACUGGGAUAACUUCGGGAAACCGGAGCUAAUACCGGAUAAUAUAUUGAACCGCAUGGUUCAAUAGUGAAAGACGGUUUUGCUGUCACUUAUAGAUGGAUCCGCGCCGCAUUAGCUAGUUGGUAAGGUAACGGCUUACCAAGGCAACGAUGCGUAGCCGACCUGAGAGGGUGAUCGGCCACACUGGAACUGAAACACGGUCCAGACUCCUACGGGAGGCAGCAGUAGGGAAUAUUCCGCAAUGGGCGAAAGCCUGACGGAGCAAAGCCGCGUGAGUGAUGAAGGUCUUCGGAUCGUAAAACUCUGUUAUUAGGGAAGAACAAAUGUGUAAGUAACUAUGCACGUCUUGACGGUACCUAAUCAGAAAGCCACGGCUAACUACGUG
rnacentral:rRNA from 1 species